UCUUCGGAGAUGAGGGUGGUCGCUGAUCUCGGACGAGCCUCCAAAUGAAAGACCCCCGGAGCGGGGAGACCUUCACUCAAGUCUCGGGAUGAUUCGGCCCCCCCAAGAACUCAUGUGAGACC
rnacentral:pre_miRNA from 14 species